rnacentral:rRNA from 1 species
GACGGGGCCCGCACAAGCGGUGGAGCAUGUGGUUUAAUUCGAUGCAACGCGAAGAACCUUACCUGGUCUUGACAUCCCGGAGACCCUUAGGAAACUAGGGGUGCUUCCAUCUGGAAGAAUCUGGAGACAGGUGCUGCAUGGCUGUCGUCAGCUCGUGUCGUGAGAUGUUGGGUUAAGUCCCGCAACGAGCGCAACCCUUGCCUUUAGUUGCCAGCAGUUCGGCUGGGCACUCUAAAGGGACUGCCGGUGUUAAACCGGAGGAAGGUGGGGAUGACGUCAAGUCCUCAUGGCCUUUAUGACCAGGGCUACACACGUACUACAGUGGCCGAUACAAAGGGCAGCGACACUGCGAGGUGAAGCCAAUCCCGUAAAAUCGGUCUCAGUCCGGAUUGGAGUCUGCAACUCGACUCCAUGAAGUUGGAAUCGCUAGUAAUCGUGGAUCAGCAUGCCACGGUGAAUACGUUCCCGGGCCUU